GAUGAACGCUGGCGGCGUGCCUAAUACAUGCAAGUCGAACGCUGGAAAUCUAGCUUGCUAGCUUGAAGGAGUGGCGAACGGGUGAGUAAUACAUAAGCAACCUACCCACGAAGACUGGGAUAAUCUCUGGAAACGGGGACUAAUACCGGAUAGGUAAUCGGAAGGCAUCUUCUGAUUAUUAAAGGUUAAAAACACUGGUGGAUGGGCUUAUGGCGCAUUAGUUAGUUGGUGAGGUAACGGCCCACCAAGACGAUGAUGCGUAGCCGGCCUGAGAGGGUGAACGGCCACAUUGGGACUGAGACACGGCCCAGACUCCUACGGGAGGCAGCAGUAGGGAAUUUUCGGCAAUGGGGGAAACCCUGACCGAGCAACGCCGCGUGAGUGAUGACGGCCUUCGGGUUGUAAAGCUCUGUUGUAAGGGAAGAACGGUAGAUAGAGAAUAUCUAAAGGACGGUACCUUACCAGAAAGCCACGGCUAACUACGU
rnacentral:rRNA from 1 species